ACUCAAGUAGUUUAAGUAGAAUAAUAAUUUGUGGAGUUAUUGGUAUCGUUUGUGAUCUUGAGU
rnacentral:tRNA from 1 species